rnacentral:rRNA from 1 species
GACGAACGCUGGCGGCGUGCUUAACACAUGCAAGUCGAACGGUAAGGCCCUUCGGGGUACAUGAGUGGCGAACGGGUGAGUAACACGUGGGUGAUCUGCCCUGCACUUCGGGAUAAGCCUGGGAAACUGGGUCUAAUACCGGAUAGGACUCCGGACUGCAUGGUCUGGGGUGGAAAGCUUUUGCGGUGUGGGAUGGGCCCGCGGCCUAUCAGCUUGUUGGUGGGGUGAUGGCCUACCAAGGCGACGACGGGUAGCCGGCCUGAGAGGGUGACCGGCCACACUGGGACUGAGAUACGGCCCAGACUCCUACGGGAGGCAGCAGUGGGGAAUAUUGCACAAUGGGCGCAAGCCUGAUGCGGCGACGCCGCGUGAGGGAUGACGGCCUUCGGGUUGUAAACCUCUUUCAGCACAGACGAAGCGCAAGUGACGGUAUGUGCAGAAGAAGGACCGGCCAACUACGUGCCAGCAGCCGCAGUAA